UACGUAGGGGGCAAGCGUUAUCCGGAAUCACUGGGCGUAAAGGGUGCGUAGGCGGGAUUGUAAGUCAGUGGUGAAAUUUCCGGGCUUAACCGUAGUAAGCCUUUGAAACUGCUUAGCUUGAGUGCGGGAGAGGUAAGUGGAAUUCCUAGUGUAGCGGUGAAAUGCGUAGAUAUUAGGAGGAACACCAGUGGCGAAGGCGACUUACUGGACUGUAACUGACGCUGAGGCACGAAAGCGUGGGGAGCAAACA
rnacentral:rRNA from 1 species